UUUUGUAUCACUCGCAUUUGGUGCGUUGUAUUUUAGUCUGGCGAAAGCAAUCUUUAGAAAGGCGAGAAGUCCAAGGUUAUUGUCUAUCGGUGGUAUGUUUUUGAUGCAAGGUUUGAAUGAUACACAGAUUCCUCGGAGUAACCGUCCCCGAAGCGUGGUUGCUAUGCUUUUAAUUGUAAUUGUACUUUAUACGGCUUUGUUUGCAUCGGGCGUUGUUAGCGUGUUGAUUAUUCCACAAUAUGAAGAUAACAUUCGCACAGUUGACGAUUUGUUACGGUCAGAACUACCUGUAGCUAUGACGCUACUCCAACUUGAUGUCUCGCGAAAUCAAACCUUUACUCAUACACAGAAGAUUUUGAUUUCCCGUAAUGUCGUUAAGCAAUUCCAGGGCACAAGCCUUUCUAAGACAUUGUACUCGAAAUAUGCAUUUCAACAUUAUUAUACCAGCAUUAAAUUGUCGAAUUUUUUGGACAGUUACUAUACACCCUUGGCGAAGAGCGUGCAAAGAUUGGAAGAUUAUUACCAAAAGUCAUUCGGCACCAUCCAAGUCACUGGACCACCCGUGUAUGUACAUUUGUUACCGCAUUUAAACGAUAUUAUUCUCAAAUGUAAGGAAUUUGGAUUAUAUACAAAAUGGGAAUGGGAUAUCUUUCUACUGACAAACAAAGUCUUUGACAUAUUGGAGUAUCUUGAUAACAAGUUACCACAAACGAAAGCAACUGUUUUGACGUUAGCGCAUGUUAAAGGCAUAUUUUAUCUCUAUUGUGCUGGUGUUAUAUUUUCAUUAAUAGCUUUUGUUUUGGAAUUGAAAGUGGCGAAAAUAAUUGAUAAGAGAAAGGACGGUGGAAAGUCGAUAUGCCAAUUUUAAGCUUUUUAUGAAUUAGGUAUUUUCUAAUUAACUUGUAGCAUCUGCGCUUGUAUUUAAGUAUAAAUUCAAUCCUGUCUUUUAAACUCGAUGAUUGGUAGCAACCUUGAAUUGAUUUCUGCACUGGGCGCUGUGUGCGCUGUAUUUGGGUAUAAACAACUUUUACGUUGUCAGUGAGUGUGCCGGCGCGAUGUUCAUGCACCCGAGUUGCUUGCAGUUUGUUCGACUCCGUGUGUGAUGGCGGUUGGUAGGUUCGUGUAUCUCGACGGUUUGUUCAAUUCGAUAUAUCGUGAUAUAUUUUAUCGGCUGUCGACAGUGUUUAGUGUUCACGGGCGCGUACGGUGAUAUGUUGUUAUAAUAUGGUAUUAAUUUAGUAUUUUAUUCUUGUACUUUGUAUUUUCUUUAUAUUAUAUAAGGAGCUUCAACCAUG